rnacentral:rRNA from 1 species
AAAGCGGAGUGAGCCUUGUAAGUAACUAAUGGAAGAAAAGUGUUUCAUACAUUUUAGGUCAAAGAGCAUCUUACACUGAAAAAAAGAGUACUGUGAAGGAAAGUUGAAAGAGAAGUGAAAAACCUGCAAAUUUAUUUCCUAAGCAGCUAUUGAAUAGCGUACCUUUUGUAUAAUGGGUUCAUGAGUUAGAGUUUGGCGAAUAUAAGCUAAAAGCGUAAAUAUAAAGAAAUUAUUUGAGUCAAAUCUCCCGAAACCAAGUGAUUUAACCAUAGGCUGUUUUUAGAACGAACCGGUGAUUGUGGCAAAAAUCUCGGAGGACUUAUGGUUGGGGGUGAAAGACCAAUCGAACUUGGAGCUAGCUGGUUUUCUGCGAAAACUAUUGAAGUAGUGCGUUUAUCUUUGAAGGGCGUAGGUGUCACGAAGACAGGAGAUGGAUAGACAAACGACUUGCGAAAGGUGGGUGGUUAAAAGGGCGUAGCCCAGAUCAGAUGUUAAAGUUAUUUUUUUUUCUUUAGUGUAAAAAGAAGGCCAAAUAAAAACAAUAAAAAAGUAGGCUUGGAGACAGCCAUCUUUUAAAAAUUACGUAGUUGUUUAUUUAGAAAUUUUGUACUUUUUAAAAUCCUGGUGGCUAAAAAGAAACUUAAACUUUGAGGGCAAAAUGCUUGGUAGCGGAACGAACUGUAUAAAAUUUUUUGAAAAAUGUUUCAGAAGAGAUAAUAUGGACAUGAGUAAAAUUUAUUUGUCUCCUUUGGUUUCCUUUUUUAUAGGAGGGUUAAGCAGUCCCUAAGAUUUUCAAUGGGUAUGUGUAAGAGACAGGUAAGGCAUCAGGAAAGAAUUAUAUUUGUAAACUGUUCUUAUAGAAUGGGGGAGAUGAAGUGGCAAAAGGUUUUUUAAAAAACUCGGCAAAGUUUUGAACCUCGGCUGUUUAUCAAAAACAUAGCUCUCCGCAAAAAGGAUGUUGUAUGGAAAGUGGCACCUGCCCAAUGGUUGUCUCCAAAAGGGUUUGUAGGGCGCGCUAAUAAGGACAAUUGAAUGGCCGCGGUAACCUUGACUGUGAAAAUGUAGCAUAAUCAAUAGUCAAUUAAUUGUUGACCGGUAUGAAUGGUAUCACGAGGGUUUCACUGUUUUAAAAAAUCUCCAAUGAAAUUGAGAUUGGGGUGAAGACGCCCCAUCCAAAUUGUAAGACGAGAAGUCCCCAUGGAACUUUACUGGAGGCUUAUAGUACGGAUAUUAAAAUAAAGGCUGAAGGGUCUUUUUUGUUUUUAUAGAAGGGUUCAAGGUAAGAGGGACAGUUUCAUUGGGGCGAUGGCUUUUUAAAAAGUAACAAAAGUGAGCUAGAAAUAUAAGUUUGAUUGUGAGGGUGAGGGCCCGAGCAGACACUCUAGGUGGGCGGAAGUGACCCGUUAUUUUUGAAUGAAAAAGUUAACGAUAAACAAAUAAAAGUUACCCUGGGGAUAACAGCGCGAUAACGUUUACGAUUUGUCAAUGACGAUGUUUGCGACCUCGAUGUUGAAUUGUGGCAUCCUGGGGAGCAGAAGCCCCCAAAGGUUGGUCUGUUCGUCCAUAAAAGCCACACAUGAUUUGAGUUAAAAGCGUGGUGACACAGCUUGGUUUCUAUCUACAAUUUGAAAAACAUAAAAAAUGCAUUUUUUAGUACGAAAGGAAUGAGAAUUGACGACCUUUUGAUAAUG